GCUACACUGGUCUAAUGGAUAAGACGCUGCCCUUUCAUGGUAGAAAUACAGGUUCGAGUCCCGUGAGAAGAC
rfam:Bacillus pseudofirmus OF4 plasmid pBpOF4-02, complete sequence.